rnacentral:rRNA from 1 species
AAUGAACGCUGGCGGCGCGCCUAAUACAUGCAAGUCGAGCGAGAAGACGUAGCAAUACGUUUGUAAAGCGGCGAACGGGUGAGGAGUACAUGGGUAACCUACCCUCGAGUGGGGAAGUAACUAGCCGAAAGGUUAGCUAAUACCGCGUACGCUUCUUGGACUUCGGUUCAGGGAGGAAAGCGAUGCCGAGGGUAUCGCGCUCUUGGAUGGGCUCAUGUCCUAUCAGCUUGNGGUGAGGUAACGGCUCACCAAGGCUUCGACGGGUAGCUGGUCUGAGAGGACGAUCAGCCACACUGGCACUGCGACACGGGCCAGACUCCUACGGGAGGCAGCAGUAAGGAAUAUUGCGCAAUGGGCGAAAGCCUGACGCAGCGACGCCGCGUGGGGGA